AAUGGUGAAAUAUUAAAGUGAUAUUGUGUUGCUCUUCAUCCACACGGGUUUACCACUAUUUGGUCCUCUAUCUUGCAUCUUGAAAGAGGCUAAGAGUUUAAGGUAAUGAGGAAAAGGCUGGGGAGCAAGGCAUUACUGCAGAGGGAGAGGCAGACGCUUAGGACCUUCCCUAACGAGAACAGUUAUGUUACGAAUGAUGGGUUAUGUUAUGUAUAGACAUUUUAUGUUGGGAUGGACUCUGAGAGCCUCUUAUGGAUGAAUGUUCAAAUAGAAUGUCCAUUAGGUGUUCCCUUUUAUUAAAUGAAAAAUUUAGAGUGCA